AAUAGCGUAUAUUUAAGUUGUUGCAGUUAAAAAGCUCGUAGUUGGAUUUCGGGUGGGUUCUAGCGGUCCGCCUAUGGUGAGUACUGCUAUGGCCUAUCUUUCUGCCGGGGACGGGCUCCUGGGCUUCACUGUCCGGGACUCGGAGUCGGCGUUGUUACUUUGAGUAAAUUAGAGUGUUCAAAGCAGGCAUACGCCCUGAAUACUUUAGCAUGGAAUAACACGAUAGGACUCUGGCCUAUCUUGUUGGUCUGUAGGACCGGAGUAAUGAUUAAGAGGGACAGUCGGGGGCAUUCGUAUUUCAUUGUCAGAGGUGAAAUUCUUGGAUUUAUGAAAGACGAACUACUGCGAAAGCAUUUGCCAAGGAUGUUUUCAUUAAUCAAGAACGAAAGUUGGGGGCUCGAAGACGAUUAGAUACCGUCGUAGUCUCAACCAUAAACGAUGCCGACUAGGGAUUGGCGGAUGUUUUUUUGAUGACUCCGC
rnacentral:rRNA from 1 species